UAAGAAAUGAAUUAAUGGAAGAUUUAACACAAUAUGAGACUUUUGAUUUUCUCUCAAUUAAUUUUGCUGAUUUUUAAUUUAAUCAAUGUUAAAUGACACAUGUCAUUUUCUUGUGUGAUGAUGUGUCACUCAUAUGGAGAAAGUUGGCCAACUUUCAUAUAUAUGAUUCUCCCUAUAAGAACUUCGAUAUCAAAAAGCCUAAAUUAAAGAACAAAACUAACUUCAAAACAUUGUCACGACUAAGGAUGUUACAAACCCAAGAAACUAAAGAGAGCUCUCAUCAAUACUAGCUAGAAGCUACUAUUACUCUAUUAGACAACACAAGAA
rnacentral:sRNA from 1 species